UACGUAGGGUGCGAGCGUUGUCCGGAAUUACUGGGCGUAAAGAGCUCGUAGGUGGUUUGUCGCGUUGUUCGUGAAAACCGGGGGCUUAACCCUCGGCGUGCGGGCGAUACGGGCAGACUGGAGUACUGCAGGGGAGAUUGGAAUUCCUGGUGUAGCGGUGGAAUGCGCAGAUAUCAGGAGGAACACCGAUGGCGAAGGCAGAUCUCUGGGCCGUAACUGACGCUGAGGAGCGAAAGCGUGGGGAGCGAACAGG
rnacentral:rRNA from 1 species